CAGCAGCCGCGGGAAAACCAGCACCUCGAGUGGUCAGGAGGUUUAUUGGGCCUAAAGCAUCCGUAGCCGGUUGCAUAAGUUUUCGGUUAAAUCUAUGCGCUUAACGUAUAGGCCGCCGAAAAUACUGUGCAGCUAGGGAGUGGGAGAGGUACACGGUACUCGAUAGGAAGGGGUAAAAUCCUUUGAUCUAUUGAUGACCACCUGUGGCGAAGGCGGUGUACCAGAACACGUUCGACGGUGAGGGAUGAAAGCUGGGGGAGCAAGCCGGAUUAGAUACCCCAGUAGUCCCUGUCUCUUAUAC
rnacentral:rRNA from 1 species